CCUACGGGAGGCAGCAGUGGGGAAUAUUGCGCAAUGGGCGAAAGCCUGACGCAGCAACGCCGCGUGAGUGAUGAAGGCCUUCGGGUUGUAAAGCUCUGUCGGGUGGAACGAAAGGGCAGGGUGUGAACAAUACUCUGUUUUGACGGUACCGCCAAAGGAAGCGCCGGCUAACUCCGUGCCAGCAGCCGCGGUAAU
rnacentral:rRNA from 1 species